rnacentral:misc_RNA from 1 species
UCUUAGUAAACGUCACAAGCAAAAGCAAGUAAGAAGAUUCUCUUUUCUUUUCUUUCUCUUCCCCCUUUCUUUUCUACAGUGAUCUAAUCCCCUCCCUUUGACCACAAAUCACAUCAGCUGACUCCAUUUUGACCAUAAAUCAUAGGCAAAAUAGGCAAAAAAGCACCAAGGCAGAACAAAAUUAUCUCAAACAUUCAACCCAUUUAACACCCUUCAAUUGAAUCCACUUCUAAUUGCAAUCAACAAUAAUGAAACAGAACACAUACACCAAACAUGCAAUAAUGAAUCAAAAGAAACUUACAGAAAAACAAGCUG